UACGAAGGGGGCUAGCGUUGCUCGGAAUUACUGGGCGUAAAGGGCGCGUAGGCGGAUAUUUAAGUCGGGGGUGAAAGCCCAGGGCUCAACCCUGGAAUAGCCUUCGAUACUGGAUAUCUUGAGUUCGGGAGAGGUGAGUGGAACUCCGAGUGUAGAGGUGAAAUUCGUAGAUAUUCGGAAGAAACACCAGUGGCGAAGGCGACUCACUGGCCCGAUACUGACGCUGAAGCGGCGAAAGCGUGGGGAGCAAACA
rnacentral:rRNA from 1 species